rnacentral:lncRNA from 1 species
AUUCAUUUGGUGUGCGGCAGGAGUGAAUAAAUGGAAACUGAAAUCAAUGAAUGACUCCUUAUGAUGAGGGGUUAUCUAUACAUGGUAGGAAAAACACAACAAGUGCAAUAUGAUCUGAGGAACUGCCAGACUGUGGAGACAGAAGUGUGGACAGAUUUUGAGCUCCUGAAUUAUAACUGUGGCUUUGAGAAUGCAUUUGGCAAGAUAUCAACAGGAAUUAAUAAACAUUAGUAAAACUUGAAAGUAACAGUGGAAAGUGUUUGAUUCAGAGGUGGUAAGUACUUGCCUGCCGCCACUUUGAUUGAUGUGGGCUCUCCACGGCCAGGGGCAGGGGGCUGCCUGGGGAGGAGGGCCCACUCUCAACGGGGAGCUGCGGGGGGUGGCACUGGUGGGGACAUGAAAGACUCACCUUUCGCAAUGCACCGUGUAACACUGA